UCGGGAAUUUUGGGCAAUGGGGGAAACCCUGACCCAGCAACGCCGCGUGAAGGAUGAAGUAUUUCGGUAUGUAAACUUCGAAAGAAUAGGAAGAAUAAAUGACGGUACUAUUUAUAAGGUCCGGCUAACUACGUGCCAGCAGCCGCGGUAAUACGUAGGGACCAAGCGUUGUUCGGAUUUACUGGGCGUAAAGGGCGCGUAGGCGGCAUGACAAGUCACUGGUGAAAUCUCUGGGCUUAACCCAGAACGGCCAAGUGAUACUGUCGCGCUAGAGUGCAGAAGGGGCAAUCGGAAUUCUUGGUGUAGCGGUGAAAUGCGUAGAUAUCAAGAGGAACACCUGAGGUGAAGACGGGUUGCUGGGCUGACACUGACGCUGAGGCGCGAAAGCCAGGGGAGCAAACGGGGAUUAGAUACCCGCGUAGUCCCUGAG
rnacentral:rRNA from 1 species